AUUCCCAAGAAAGCUUCUCUUGGCAGUCUCAGUCCUGGGUCUUCCAGCUCUUCAUGAUGCUCUGGGCGAUACUACUGGUGCUGGCUCCCAUUGGUGGACACUGUGAAACUAUACCCCAGUCUUUUAUU